GUGGGUAUGUAGCUCAGUGGUAGAGCUCUGGCCUAGCAUGAAUGAUAUCCUAGGUUCAAGCUCCAGCACCACA
rnacentral:tRNA from 1 species